rnacentral:rRNA from 1 species
UACGACUACAUAUCAGGCAUAUCAAUAAGCGGAGGAAAAGAAACUAACAAGGAUUCCCCUAGUAACGGCGAGUGAAGCGGGAAGAGCUCAAAUUUGAAAUCUUAAAGGGUUUCCCUUUACGAAUUGUAGUUUAAAGAAGUGUUUUCUGUUGGAGUUUCGGUAAAAGUUCUUUGGAAUAGGACAUCAUAGAGGGUGAGAAUCCCGUAUUUGACCAUUUCUUCCAGCUGUGUGAUACACUUUCAAAGAGUCGGAUUGUUUGGGAAUGCAGUCCAAAAGUGGGUGGUAAAUUUCAUCUAAAGCUAAAUAUUGGCGAGAGACCGAUAGCGAACAAGUACCGUGAGGGAAAGAUGAAAAGAACUUUGAAAGGAGAGUUAAACAGUACGUGAAAUUGUCAAAAGGGAAGCGUUUGACACCAGUGUUGUUUAGUUGAAAAUCAAUUAAAUAAUUUUUGAUUUUAAGUAGUAUUGACUUCAUCAGCUUGCUGCUUUCUUUUCGGAAAUUAUUUAAUGCACUUUUCAGUUAACAAGUCAACAUCAAUUUCUUUUGUUGUAAAAGGGUAAGAGGAAGGUGGCUUAGCGAUUUCGGUGUAAAGUGUUUAUAGCCUUUGACCUCUGCAAUCGGAGAGAUUGAGGUCAGCAGCGUAGACUCCUUUGGGGUUAGAUACGCUUGUGCUAAGCUAUAGCCUUGUAUAGACAACUUGUUGACUAUGCUCAGUCAUGUAGCUUACUCGCUUGUAUGUAAUUUUACCUACGCUUAGGAUGUUGAAUCUGUGCGAGACUAC